UACAGAGACUGCAAGCGUUAUUCGGAUUCACUGGGCGUAAAGGGUGCGCAGGCGGCCGAGUGUGUGAGGCGUGAAAGCCCGGGGCUUAACCCCGGAAUUGCACCUCAAACUACACGGCUAGAGCAUUGGAGAGGGUAGCAGAAUUCAUGGUGUAGCAGUGAAAUGCGUAGAUAUCAUUUGGAACGCCAAUGGUGAAAACAGCUCGCUGGGGGUGCACUGACACUGAGACACGAAAGCCAGGGGAGCGAACGGG
rnacentral:rRNA from 1 species